UGCAAGUUACUAUCCUAACCAUGCCACCAUUCUAAUUGUACAUUUUUUAAUUGUACAUCAUCUUAUUUUUGUUGUUGUUCCCUGUUUGAUUUUUCUUUUUCCUUUUGAAAGAACAAUUCUGGACCAGUAUAUAAACUUGUUAUUGGAGUUACAGAGUCACAGGAGUGUAGGAAUUAGCAAAGACUUCUGGAAGUCAUCUAUUCCAACUCUCUGUUAAACCAGGCUUCCUAGAAUCUGGAAGACUAGCUCUCACUGCUUUAUUAAGUCCUAACAGUGGGAAUUUUCACUAUCAGAAGGAUAACAUGACUUCCUAGCAUGCACAGUAUGCUCCUGAAAAGAAGAAAGUUAAAAUGUGCUGGUAUCAUUAAAGAUCAACAAAAAUUCUUUUAGGUCUUAGCUUCAGCUUUAUUUAACCCUAAUGACUAGAGGGGGGGAAAAAAGCUCCUCCACAGCCAUCAGGAUAGCAGAGGUAAUUUUAGUGAUACACAAACCUGGAAGAAUAGAUAUGAGGAAGCAAUAAAAAUAUAUUCCAGCAGUUUUUCCUCCAUAGUGGAUAUACAUCUGGUUAACAGGAUCUCCCCAGUUCAUAAAUGAUCUGUAUGAAAGCAUGCAACGAAAUACAGGAGAAGAUCAAGGAAAUGCAGGAGCAGACUAGGGAUAACAUGACAUGUCGUUGUGUUU